rnacentral:rRNA from 1 species
GAUCAGUGGCGAACGGGUGAGUAACACGUGAGCAACCUGCCCCUGACUCUGGGAUAAGCGCUGGAAACGGCGUCUAAUACUGGAUAUGUGACGUGACCGCAUGGUCUGCGUCUGGAAAGAAUUUCGGUUGGGGAUGGGCUCGCGGCCUAUCAGCUUGUUGGUGAGGUAAUGGCUCACCAAGGCGUCGACGGGUAGCCGGCCUGAGAGGGUGACCGGCCACACUGGGACUGAGACACGGCCCAGACUCCUACGGGAGGCAGCAGUGGGGAAUAUUGCACAAUGGGCGCAAGCCUGAUGCAGCAACGCCGCGUGAGGGACGACGGCCUUCGGGUUGUAAACCUCUUUUAGCAGGGAAGAAGCGAAAGUGACGGUACCUGCAGAAAAAGCGCCGGCUAACUACGUGCCAGCAGCCGCGGUAAUACGUAGGGCGCAAGCGUUAUCCGGAAUUAUUGGGCGUAAAGAGCUCGUAGGCGGUUUGUCGCGUCUGCUGUGAAAUCCGGAGGCUCAACCUCCGGCCUGCAGUGGGUACGGGCAGACUAGAGUGCGGUAGGGGAGAUUGGAAUUCCUGGUGUAGCGGUGGAAUGCGCAGAUAUCAGGAGGAACACCGAUGGCGAAGGCAGAUCUCUGGGCCGUAACUGACGCUGAGGAGCGAAAGGGUGGGGAGCAAACAGGCUUAGAUACCCUGGUAGUCCACCCCGUAAACGUUGGGAACUAGUUGUGGGGUCCAUUCCACGGAUUCCGUGACGCAGCUAACGCAUUAAGUUCCCCGCCUGGGGAGUACGGCCGCAAGGCUAAAACUCAAAGGAAUUGACGGGGACCCGCACAAGCGGCGGAGCAUGCGGAUUAAUUCGAUGCAACGCGAAGAACCUUACCAAGGCUUGACAUAUACGAGAACGGGCCAGAAAUGGUCAACUCUUUGGACACUCGUAAACAGGUGGUGCAUGGUUGUCGUCAGCUCGUGUCGUGAGAUGUUGGGUUAAGUCCCGCAACGAGCGCAACCCUCGUUCUAUGUUGCCAGCACGUAAUGGUGGGAACUCAUGGGAUACUGCCGGGGUCAACUCGGAGGAAGGUGGGGAUGACGUCAAAUCAUCAUGCCCCUUAUGUCUUGGGCUUCACGCAUGCUACAAUGGCCGGUACAAAGGGCUGCAAUACCGCGAGGUGGAGCGAAUCCCAAAAAGCCGGUCCCAGUUCGGAUUGAGGUCUGCAACUCGACCUCAUGAAGUCGGAGUCGCUAGUAAUCGCAGAUCAGCAACGCUGCGGUGAAUACGUUCCCGGGUCUUGUACACACCGCCCGUCAAGUCAUGAAAGUCGGUAA